AAAGUUUUCUAAGGGGCGCAUGGUGGAUGCCUUGGCAACAGGAGCCGAAGAAGGACGUGGGAUCUGCGAUAAGCCUGGUGGAGUCGAUAACCGGACGUGAGACCAGGAUUUCCGAAUGGGGAAACCCCGCACGACGUGUCGUGUGACCCCCGGUUGAACACAUAGACCGGGUGGAGGGAACGUGGGGAAGUGAAACAUCUCAGUACCCACAGGAAGAGAAAACAAAAGUGAUUCCGUUAGUAGUGGCGAGCGAACGCGGAUGGGGCUAAACCGUAUGUGUGUGAUACCCGGCAGGGGUUGCAUGUGCGGUGUUGUGGGCCCCUCCUUGUCAUGUCUGCCGGCAUGGCGCAGUGAGGUGCGGGCAUAUAGACGAACCAGUGUGGAUGCUGGACCGUAGAGGGUGAGAGUCCCGUAGUCGAAAUGUGUUCCGCCGCUGUUGGGGGGGUUGCCCGAGUAGCACGGGGCCCGAGGAAUCCCGUGUGAAUCUGCCAGGACCACCUGGUAAGCCUGAAUACUACCUGUUGACCGAUAGCGGAUCAGUACCGUGAGGGAAUGGUGAAAAGUACCCCGGGAGGGGAGUGAAAUAGUACCUGAAACCAUGUGCCUACAAACCGUUGGAGCCUUCUUGUGGGGUGACAGCGUGCCUUUUGAAGAAUGAGCCUGCGAGUUAGUGAUACGUGGCGAGGUUAACCCGUGUGGGGAAGCCGUAGCGAAAGCGAGUCUGAAUAGGGCGAUUGAGUCGCGUGUCCUAGACCCGAAGCGGAGUGAUCUACCCAUGGCCAGGUUGAAGCGCGUGUAAGAGCGCGUGGAGGACCGAACCCACUUCAGUUGAAAAUGGAGGGGAUGAGCUGUGGGUAGGGGGUGAAAGGCCAAUCAAACUCCGUGAUAGCUGGUUCUCCCCGAAAUGCAUUUAGGUGCAGCGUCACGUGUUUCUUCCCGGAGGUAGAGCUACUGGAUGGACGAUGGGCCCUACAAGGUUACUGACUUCAGCCAAACUCCGAAUGCCGGGGAAGUGAGAGCGUGGCAGUGAGACUGUGGGGGGAUAAGCUUCAUAGUCGAGAGGGGAAACAGCCCCAGACCACCGGUUAAGGCCCCUAAGCGUGUGCUAAGUGGGAAAGGGAAUGUGGAGUUGCUGAGACAACCAGGAGGGUUGGCUUAGAAGCAGCCACCCUUGAAAGAGUGCGUAAUAGCUCACUGUCAAGUGAUUCCGCGCCGACAUGUAGCGGG
rnacentral:rRNA from 1 species